rnacentral:rRNA from 1 species
AUUGAACGCUGGCGGCAGGCCUAACACAUGCAAGUCGAACGGAGCGGCGGACGGGUGAGUAAUGCCUAGGAAUCUGCCUGGUAGUGGGCGAUAACGUCCGGAAACGGGCGCUAAUACCGCAUACUAUCAGAUGAGUCUAGGUCGGCUUAGCUAGUUGGUGGGGUAAAGGCCUACCAAGGCGACGAUCCUUAACUGGUCUGAGAGGAUGAUCAGUCAAACGGGAACUGAGACCCGGCCCAGACUCCUACGGGAGGAAGCAGUGGGGAAUAUUGGACAAGGGGCGAAAGCCUGAUCCAGCCAUGCCGCGUGUGUGAAGAAGGUUUUCGGAUUGUAAAGCACUUUAAGUUGGGAGGCGUUACCAACAGAAUAAGCAACGGCUAACUACGUGCCAGCAGCCGCGGUAAUAC